UACAGAGGUGGCAAGCGUUGUUCGGAAUUACUGGGCGUAAAGGGCGCGUAGGCGGUCCUCUAAGUCUUGUGUGAAAGCCCUCGGCUCAACCGAGGAACUGCGCUCCAAACUACUUGACUUGAGGAGGCUAGAGGUAAGCGGAACUGAUGGUGGAGCGGUGAAAUGCGUUGAUAUCAUCAGGAACACCGGAGGCGAAGGCGGCUUACUGGGGCCUUUCUGACGCUGAGGAACGAAAGCCAGGGGAGCGAACGGG
rnacentral:rRNA from 1 species